GUAGCAAUCCCUGGCUUAGCACUGUGAGUUUUUGCCAUGCCCGAGGUCCACUUUGUGCUCCUUUAGUCUGUUCUCCAGGUUCCUCUCCGUAUGGCAUCUACAUAAAAUUCCUCCUUACCUAAAGAGUGAUUAGUUACUCACUGUUCUACUUUUGAGGGCAGAAAUGAAGAAAUUAAUACAAUUAUGGAAAUCGGCCAAAAACUUGGAUAUGACAAUUUUGUACGGGGUUUCUUCACAGAGGGAAAGGGGUUUAAACAGAAAGGGAAGACAAUCUAGUAAACCCGGUGCCUUUAGGUGUGUUGAACAAGCCCUGUAGGUAGAAAAAUUUGCCAAGGACAUCAGCGACUUGGCGGAUUGUCUUCUGUUUUAGAAGGAAUCAGACCAUUUUCGAGAUAAUUAGGAACGACAAAGACAGGUAUUAGGAUAAGGUCAGAGGUAGUGUAUGAAAUCCCUCUAACUAAUCUUUAGGUAAGGACCUUUAGGUAACUUUAGGUAAGGAGGAAUUUUAUGUAAGCACUAUAUGGAGAGGAGUUUGGAGGAUGGAAUAAAGGAGCAUGGAGUGGAUCUCGGGUAUGGUAAACUCUCCGCUGUGCUAAGCCAGGGAUUGCUGCUCCAUGAUGUUGAGGUGAAGUGGGAGGGUGCAGGGAUUGUCCGGCCGAAGGGGGGACUGGGACAGGAGCAUGAUCGAGGCAAUAGAGGUCUUAAUGGGGAGGAGGGGAGGU
rnacentral:lncRNA from 1 species